AGUGUGCGUGUGUGCGCGGUGCAGGUUUGCAAGCUUUAUAAUACAUAUGGGGGGGGGGGCGUUUCAGGCUUUCCCCGCUAGCAGCGGCGGGAAGCCUGGGGCGAGGGAUUUCUGCUCGAGAGGACGAGCUAGCUGCACACACACACACACACACACACUAUGCAAAAAGCAAACUCUGGUUGUUUACCUUCAUUUGUAGAGGGGACUGGAAAAUAAGCCCCCCCCAACUCCCCAACACAGAUAUUCGCGCUCGAAUCUAUAAAACCCAUGCAGCAAACGAAACGUAGCCGAUUAUGGGGGCGGUUAUUAUUUCGUUCAGUAAGAGGAAGCGGGGGAGAGAGAAAUACUGCCCGGGGCAGCUGGAGGCGGGAGGAAGCUGGCGAGGAAAGCGGGGAAAGGCUGCGAAGUAAGCCCGCUGCAGCCGCAGCUCCGGCGCGCCUUACCGAUGUGGAUGAUCGAAUCUGCCAGCGCCGCUUCCCAGGUUCCGGUCCAGCACACGGACACGAGCAAAGCGAGGGGGAAAACUUCCAUCUCCUGCGCUUCGGGCAAGCGGGGAGGAGUGGUUGGUUCGGGAAACGGGGGGUAGUAGUAAGGGGGGGCAGGAGGUUAGCGAUCACACCAGCGACAAGGACGAAGGGAGCCCAAGAAAAGAGAGACGAGAGUUUGAGGAGCCUCUAAAUCCCGGUUGGAUCCUCCAAGGAAAAAAAAAUUAGGAGGAAAGGAAAAAGCUGCAAGAGGGAGCCGAUCCCAGGCUGGUUGGGGAGCCUCUCGCAACGAGCCCCGCGUCACUUCGGGGGGCGGCCGGGCAUCACCAGAGUUGUGGGGAGUUGCUGCAGCAAAUCAAUCCAGCACAUCACCGCCGCCGCGAGAGAUGUCAAUCGGGAAGCAGUUCGGCGUGUCCCUGUGUCGAUCACACCAUCCUCAGCCUUUUUAUUGUUAUGUUUCAACGUCAUGUGUGAUGGCCUGGGAAUCUGAUUCAGAGGCUGAACCGGAGGAAUCCCAGCCUGCACAGGAGUCCCUGCCUCCAGGGCCGGCUGAGCCGGGGCAGGGCCUUGAAUCUGAAGCGCCUGCACCUGUGCCAGGUCCUCAGGAGCAGACACCAGAUGAAUCCACUCUGGCUCCGGAGGUGAUUGAGGACACAUUGCCUACAGGUGCUCCUCUCCCAGCCCUGUCAGGGGAAGGUGAGCCUCCCCCUGGGUCCAGUAACCCUCCAGCCUCUCCUGAGCUGCAGAGGCUCAGGGCAGAGAGGCGGAGGGAACUGGGUUCUCUCAGGAGGAGUGCUUGCCUUAAGGCCAGGAGAGGCGGGUCACCUGUGGGCCGGGACCGCCCCUGGCCUCAGAGAAGAUAA
rnacentral:lncRNA from 1 species